GGCUCCAUAGCUCAGAGGUUAGAGCACUGGUCUUGUAAACCAGGCGUCGCGAGUUCAAUUCUCGCUGGGGCAUUCG